GGCUCAGGAUGAACGCUGGCGGCGUGCUUAACACAUGCAAGUCGAACGGAGUUUAGCGCUUCCAAAGCUUCGGCAGAGGAUUGCUAAACUUAGUGGCGGACGGGUGAGUAACGCGUGGGUAACCUGCCAUAUACAGGGGGAUAACACUUAGAAAUAGGUGCUAAUACCGCAUAAGCGCACAGCAUCGCAUGAUGCAGUGUGAAAAACUCCGGUGGUAUAUGAUGGACCCGCGUCUGAUUAGCUAGUUGGUGAGGUAACGGCCCACCAAGGCGACGAUCAGUAGCCGGCCUGAGAGGGUGAACGGCCACAUUGGGACUGAGACACGGCCCAAACUCCUACGGGAGGCAGCAGUGGGGAAUAUUGCACAAUGGGGGAAACCCUGAUGCAGCCGACGCCGCGUGAGUGAAGAAGUAUUUCGGUAUGUAAAGCUCUAUCAGCAGGGAAGAUAAUGACGGUACCUGACUAAGAAGCCCCGGCUAACUACGUGCCAGCCGCAGC
rnacentral:rRNA from 1 species